rnacentral:lncRNA from 1 species
UAUGUUUCACGUUCAAAUACAUAUUUCAAGUCUGGACUUCAGAUAUGUGUAUCAAGACAACCCCGUUAUUCCGAUACACCCAUGUUACGACAUACUUUUAUUCAACAGUCUGAUAUAUAAAGACAAGGGUUAAUAGUUGUGUCAUAAGAAUGUCAACUUGUAGAGUUUAAUCAAUAUUUCAAAAAAAAAAGAACCAUUUAUUUAUUUCAAAAUUCCAAAACUAGAAAACCGAGCAGCUCAUUUGUCGUCCUGAAUAUGCAUGGCAUUUUUGGCUACUUGAUUUACCAUUGUUUAAACAAGGCAAAGUCAGUGACUUGCUAUUGGGAAACCAAACAGGCCUUUGAAACUGCGAUGCUAUAUGUUCUCAGAUAUGACGAUUCUAUGACAGUGUCGUGGGAACUAAAACAUGGAACAAAACCUAUUUCAAAAUAUAAAUUGCCAAAAUGUGUUGAUGACGCUUUAAUAAUUUGCGUCCAUGUCUACUCCUUCUAAAAUUGUAAUAACUGUGUUUGAAUACUAACAUCAAAGUUUUAAAAGAGAUCAAAGUCGAAAUUUCGAUUGUAAAAAAAAAUCGAAAUUUUGAGUUUAAAAAAAGUCGAAAUUUUGAGUUUAAA